CCUACGGGAGGCAGCAGUGGGGAAUAUUGGACAAUGGGCGGAAGCCUGAUCCAGCCAUGCCGCGUGUGUGAUGACGGCCUUAGGGUUGUAAAGCACUUUCGCCGAUGAAGAUAAUGACUGUAGUCGGAGAAGAAGCCCCGGCUAACUUCGUGCCAGCAGCCGCGGUAAUACGAAGGGGGCUAGCGUUGUUCGGAAUUACUGGGCGUAAAGCGUACGUAGGCGGAUCGUUAAGUUAGGGGUGAAAUCCCGAGGCUCAACCUCGGAACUGCCUCUGAUACUGGCGAUCUUGAGUCCGGGAGAGGUGAGUGGAACUCCUAGUGUAGAGGUGAAAUUCGUAGAUAUUAGGAAGAACACCAGUGGCGAAGGCGGCUCACUGGCCCGGAACUGACGCUGAGGUACGAAAGCGUGGGGAGCAAACAGGAUUAGAUACCCUGGUAGUCCACGCCGUAAACGAUGGAUGCUAGCCGUCGGGGAGCUUGCUCUUCGGUGGCGCAGCUAACGCAUUAAGCAUCCCGCCUGGGGAGUACGGUCGCAAGAUUAAAACUCAAAUGAAUUGAAUUGACG
rnacentral:rRNA from 1 species